rnacentral:rRNA from 1 species
UGGGGAAUAUUGCACAAUGGGCGCAAGCCUGAUGCAGCGACGCCGCGUGGGGGAUGAAGGCCUUCGGGUUGUAAACUCCUUUCGCUAGGGACGAAGCCUAUGGUGACGGUACCUGGAGAAGAAGCACCGGCUAACUACGUGCCAGCAGCCGCGGUAAUACGUAGGGUGCGAGCGUUGUCCGGAAUUACUGGGCGUAAAGAGCCCGUAGGUGGUUUGUCGCGUCGUCUGUGAAAUCCCGGGGCUUAACUUCGGGCGUGCAGGCGAUACGGGCAUAACUUGAGUGCUGUAGGGGAGGCUGGAAUUCCUGGUGUAGCGGUGAAAUGCGCAGAUAUCAGGAGGAACACCAAUGGCGAAGGCAGGUCUCUGGGCAGUAACUGACGCUGAGGAGCGAAAGCAUGGGUAGCGAACAGG